rnacentral:rRNA from 1 species
AGGAUAAACGCUGGCGGCGUGCCUAACACAUGCAAGUCGAACGCGCUUUCGGGCUUCGGUGCGAGAGCGAGUGGCGGACGGGUGAGUAACACAUGGGUACCUACCUUGGAGUGAGGGAUACCGGCGAGAAAUCGCCGACAAUACCGCAUAGGCUUCUUCACAAGGGAAGCAAAGUGACGCGAGUCACGCUUUGAGAUGGGCCUGUGGCCGAUUAGCUAGUUGGGGGGGUAACGGCUUCCCAAGGCGACGAUCGGUAGCUGGUCUGAGAGGACGAUCAGCCACACUGGGAUUGAGAACGGCCCAGACUCCUACGGGGGCAGCAGUGAGGAAUUUUCCGCAAUGGAGGCAACUCUGACGGAGCAACGCCGCGUGCAGGAGGAGGUUUUCGGAUCGUAAACUGCUUUUCUCGGGGACGAGCAAGGACGGUACCCGAGGAAGAAGCCCCGGCUAACUACGUGCCAGCAGCCGC